rnacentral:rRNA from 1 species
GGCGGGGAGCAAUCCCCAGUCGAGCGGCGAACGGGUGAGUAACGCGUGGUAUGACCUGCCCUUCAGCGGGGAAUAACCCGGGGAAACUCGGGCUAAUACCGCAUACGACCGCGAGGUGAAAGGGGGCCGCAAGGCUCCUACUGAAGGAGGGGUCCGCGUCCGAUUAGCUAGUUGGUAGGGUAAUGGCCUACCAAGGCGACGAUCGGUAGCCGGCCUGAGAGGGUGAUCGGCCACACUGGAACUGAGACACGGUCCAGACUCCUACGGGAGGCAGCAGUGGGGAAUUUUGCGCAAUGGGCUAACGCCUGACGCAGCAACGCCGCGUGGAGGAUGAAGGUCUUUGGAUUGUAAACUCCUGUCAGCAGGGAAAAAGGGAAGGGACCUAAUACGUCUCUGACUUGAUUGUACCUGCAGAGGAAGCCCCGGCUAACUCUGUGCCAGCAGCCGCGGUAAUACAGAGGGGGCAAGCGUUAUUCGGAAUUAUUGGGCGUAAAGGGCGCGUAGGCGGCUUUGCAAGUGGCGGGUGAAAUCCCUCGGCUUAACCGAGGAACUGCCUGCCAGACUGCAUUGCUUGAGUCCGGGAGAGGUGAGUGGAAUUCCCAGUGUAGCGGUGAAAUGCGUAGAUAUUGGGAGGAACACCAGUGGCGAAGGCGGCUCACUGGACCGGAACUGACGCUGAGGCGCAAAAGCGUGGGGAGCAAACAGGAUUAGAUACCCUGGUAGUCCACGCCGUAAACGAUGAGUGCUUGGUGUAGCGGGUAUCGACCCCUGCUGUGCCGAAGUCAACACAUUAAGCAC